rnacentral:rRNA from 1 species
UACGUAGGGGGCAAGCGUUGUCCGGAAUUAUUGGGCGUAAAGAGCGUGUAGGCGGCCAGGUAGGUCUGCUGUGAAAACUCGAGGCUCAACCUCGAGAUGUCGGCGGAAACCAUCUGGCUAGAGUCCGGAAGAGGAAAGUGGAAUUCCUGGUGUAGCGGUGAAAUGCGCAGAUAUCAGGAAGAACACCCGUGGCGAAAGCGGCUCUCUGGAACGGUACUGACGCUGAGACGCGAAAGCGUGGGGAGCGAACAGG